AUGGGACAAGCCAACAGGAGGCAAUGGAAGGAAAAAAGUGUCCUUCCCUGCUCUCACUUGUGCUCCUCCUCACCUCUUACAUGUUGUGCAACAGGUCAGCCCCCUGGCCUCGUCAUGUCCAGGUUACUCAUGCCAUGGUCACGCACGCUGCUGGCUAAGACUGUGCAGGCUGUUGUUUGCGAUCAUAGCCACAACAUACGUGUGCUGCACUACCAUGCCGCGGCCUUGCUCGCCGCAGCUUGCCGUGCAUGCGUUGCUCCUGAACGCCUCGCCGCGGCGCGCUCGCGGCUGCCAAGCCAGACCGACACCGUGCGCUUCUGUGCCGCCCCGCUGUGCUCCUGCUGGGUCUGUUUAUGCAUGGCCAUUCAAUUUGCAACCACUGAUCAGCUAAAUUCGUGCUUGUUUUCAACUACUAUGAAAUAA
rnacentral:rRNA from 1 species